AGAUUGAACGCUGGCGGCAGGCCUAACACAUGCAAGUCGAGCGGCAGCACGGGUACUUGUACCUGGUGGCGAGCGGCGGACGGGUGAGUAAUGCCUAGGAAUCUGCCUGGUAGUGGGGGAUAACGCUCGGAAACGGACGCUAAUACCGCAUACGUCCUACGGGAGAAAGCAGGGGACCUUCGGGCCUUGCGCUAUCAGAUGAGCCUAGGUCGGAUUAGCUAGUUGGUGAGGUAAUGGCUCACCAAGGCGACGAUCCGUAACUGGUCUGAGAGGAUGAUCAGUCACACUGGAACUGAGACACGGUCCAGACUCCUACGGGAGGCAGCAGUGGGAAUAUUGGACAAUGGGCGAAAGCCUGAUCCAGCCAUGCCGCGUGUGUGAAGAAGGUCUUCGGAUUGUAAAGCACUUUAAGUUGGAGGAAGGCAGUUACCUAAUACGUAUCUGUUUUGACGUUACCGACAGAAUAAGCACCGGCUAACUCUGUG
rnacentral:rRNA from 1 species